rnacentral:sRNA from 1 species
GACAGAGUGUGAGACCCUGUCUCAAGAAGAGAAAAAAAAAAGACAAAUGUUUUAAUCGUCCAGCGCAUGUUUAUUGAGCACUAGCUGGGGCCAGGCCUGAGUGAGGUGAGGUGAUUGUGUGCAGUAAAGAAAAUGCCACUCCUAGCAACUGGUGUGCUGAAGACCACGCUUGCCGCUGCCUGUGGGGAGAGGCUUGACAGGUGCAUCUGAGCAGGGAGAGCAGGCCCCAUGGAGGAGGAACCAGGGAAGAGGGUUAGCAGGCACAGCUCCAUGCCUCUGGGGUGCUUAUCCUGGUUGGGACCCUGCCUUGCAGCCAGUUGUAUCCCCCCAGGAUCCCUGUGCCAGGGAGCUCUCAGCAGUUUUGCAUGCGGAGCCAGGGCUACUGCCCACACCUGCUGCCCUCCUGGAGGUGGAAAGGCUUUGCUCAAGCAGCCAAGAACAGGGCUUUCUGGAUCUGCAGAUGCCCUGGCUCCAACCCUGGAGCUUCUGAUUCCACAGGGCUGGGCUGCUUCCUCCUGGCCCCGGCCCCUGAUCCUUGCCCUGUACCCCAGCCUUUGACGACCCCUAUGCCCUGGUGGUGCUGGCUGAGGAGGAGCUGGUGGUGAUUGACCUGCAGACAGCAGGCUGGCCACCGGUCCAGCUGCCCUACCUGGCUUCCCUGCACUGUUCUGCCAUCACCUGCUCUCACCACGUCUCCAACAUUCCCCUGAAGCUGUGGGAGCGGAUCAUUGCCGCCGGCAGCCGGCAGAACGCACACUUCUCCACCAUGGUAGGUCCGGCCCUGGCCCCAGCCCCAGCCCCACCCCAAGCCAAACUCUCCCACGGACUUCUUGGUCUCUUUUUCUAGGAGUGGCCAAUUGAUGGUGGUACCAGCCUGACCCCAGCCCCACCCCAGAGGGACCUGCUGCUCACAGGGCACGAGGAUGGCACGGUGCGGUUCUGGGAUGCCUCGGGUGUCUGCCUGCGGCUGCUCUACAAACUCAGCACAGUGCGCGUGUUCCUCACCGACACGGACCCCAACGAGAACCUCAGUGCCCACGGCGAGGACGAGUGGCCCCCACUCCGCAAGGUGGGCUCCUUUGACCCCUACAGUGAUGACCCCCGGCUGGGCAUCCAGAAGAUCUUCCUCUGCAAGUACAGCGGCUACUUGGCUGUGGCAGGCACGGCAGGGCAGGUGCUGGUACUGGAACUGAAUGACGAGGCAGCGGAGCAGGCUGUGGAGCAGGUGGAGGCUGACCUGCUGCAGGACCAAGAGGGCUACCGCUGGAAGGGGCAUGAGCGCCUGGCAGCCCGCUCAGGGCCUGUGCGCUUUGAGCCUGGCUUUCAGCCCUUCGUGUUGGUGCAGUGCCAGCCCCCGGCUGUGGUCACCUCCUUGGCCCUGCACUCUGAGUGGCGGCUCGUGGCCUUCGGCACCAGCCAUGGCUUUGGCCUCUUUGACCACCAGCAGCGGCGGCAGGUCUUUGUUAAGUGCACGCUGCACCCCAGUGACCAGCUGGCCUUGGAGGGCCCACUGUCCCGCGUCAAGUCCCUCAAGAAGUCCUUGCGUCAGUCAUUCCGCCGGAUGCGUCGGAGCCGGGUGUCUAGCCGGAAGCGGCGCCCGGCUGGCCCCCCAGGAGAGGUGCAGGAGGGGAGUGUCAAGGCGGAGCGGCCAGGCCUCCAGAACAUGGAGCUGGCGCCUGUGCAGCGCAAGAUUGAGGCUCGCUCGGCAGAGGACUCCUUCACAGGCUUCGUCCGGACCCUGUACUUUGCUGACACCUACCUGAGGGACAGCUCCCGGCACUGCCCCUCGCUGUGGGCUGGCACCAAUGGGGGCACCAUCUAUGCCUUCUCCCUGCGUGUGCCCCCUGCCGAGCGGAGAAUGGAUGAGACUGUGCGGGCAGAGCAGGCCAAGGAGAUCCAGCUGAUGCACCGAGCGCCGGUGGUGGGCAUCCUGGUGCUCGACGGACACAGCGUACCCCUUCCCGAGCCCCUCGAAGUGGCCCAUGAUCUGUCGAAGAGCCCUGACAUGCCGGGAAGCCACCAGCUGCUCGUCGUAUCAGAGGAGCAGUUCAAGGUGUUCACGCUGCCCAAGGUGAGUGCCAAGCUGAAGCUGAAGCUGACGGCCCUGGAGGGCUCAAGGGUGCGGCGGGUCAGCGUGGCCCACUUUGGCAGUCGUCGAGCUGAGGACUACGGGGAGCAUCACCUGGCAGUCCUUACCAACCUGGGCGACAUCCAGGUGGUCUCGCUGCCCCUGCUCAAGCCCCAGGUGCGCUACAGCUGCAUCCGCCGGGAGGACGUCAGUGGCAUCGCCUCCUGCGUCUUCACCAAAUACGGCCAAGGCUUCUACCUGAUCUCACCCUCGGAGUUCGAGCGCUUCUCUCUCUCCACCAAGUGGCUGGUGGAGCCCCGGUGUCUGGUGGAUUCAGCAGAAACCAAGAACCACCGCCCUGGUAACGGGGCAGGCCCCAAGAAGGCCCCGAGCCGAGUCAGGAACUCAGGGACUCAGAGUGAUGGCGAGGCCCUGGGCCCUGGGCUUCCACAUCCUGACCUCAGUAAGGAGAGAAAGAGCCAGGCCGAGGAGGGCCCAGGCGGGGCGCCCUGACCCGGCCUCUACCUUCCAGAGAAGCAGCCCGGCCUGGUGAUGGAGCGUGCUCUGCUCAGUGAUGAGAGAGCCGCAACUGGCGUUCACAUCGAGCGGCCGUGGGGUGCAGCCUCGGCAAUGGCGGAGCAGAGUGAGUGGCUGAGUGUCCAGGCUGCGCGAUGAGCACACACUACUACUGAUGGCCUUUCGGGGGUCCCUGCCCCAGCCGGAGAGGCUGGUGCACAGGGCCCCGCCAGGGGCUGGGGGCAUCCCGGCUUCCACAAUGCAGCUGCUCUGGGCCUCAAGAGAGGAGAGACCCCAGUCCCCUGGGCUGCCCUUCCCGGGCCUCAUCUGUCUGGGUCCUUUGGUCAAUGUUGCACAGUUUUUAUUGCUCCCAUCCCUUUUUGUAGUGGGCUGGGUUUUAAGUUAUAAAUGUUAACUGCCUCUGGGUGAAAAAGUUUUUAAUAAACACCUAUUACCUCUU